rnacentral:RNase_P_RNA from 1 species
CGAGCCGGGCGGGCGGCCGCGUGGGAUCCCGGAAGGGGUCUCCCGAGGAACGUCCGGGCUCCACAGGGCAGGGUGGUGGCUAACGGCCACCCGGGGUGACCCGCGGGACAGUGCCACAGAGAACAGACCGCCGGGGACCUCGGUCCUCGGUAAGGGUGAAACGGUGGUGUAAGAGACCACCAGCGCCUGAGGCGACUCAGGCGGCUAGGUAAACCCCACCCGGAGCAAGGUCAAGAGGGAGCACUCCUUCGCAAGAGGGGGUGCUCCUGCGCGGACGUUCGAGGGCUGCCCGCCCGAGUCCGCGGGUAGACCGCACGAGGCCGGCGGCAACGCCGGUCCUAGAUGGAUGGCCGUCGCCCCGACGACCGCGAGGUCCCGGGGAACAGAACCCGGCGUACAGCCCGACUCGUCUG